rnacentral:lncRNA from 1 species
GGGUAUUAGUGACAGUUAGUCUACUAUAGGAGUAGGGUAUGCAUCAAGAUGGGAUCAUCGACCUUGGUAGAAAUGAGUAGUCCUAUGGAAUUUGAAAAGCUAAGUCUGAGAGUUUAUGGCCACAAUAGUGUGAUUGAUGGAAAAAAAAUUUCAUAAAAAUUACAAUUGGACUUAAGCUAAUCGAAUCUAUCAUAUGAUUGAUGUUGAGGUUUGAUGAUUUAUCCAUGACCUGUCAUCUAGU